GGGCUUGACAUCCCACGAACCUGGUGAAAGCCAGGAGUGCCCGCAAGGGAGCGCAGAGACAGGUGGUGCAUGGCUGUCGUCAGCUCGUAUCGUGAAGAUGUUGGGUUUUGUCCCGUCAACGAGCGCAAUCCUCACCCCUUAUUGCCAUCAGGUCAUGCUUGGGCACUCUAGGGGAACUGCCCCCGGCCAACGGGUCGGAAGGCGGGGAUGACGUCCAGUCAUCAUGCCCUUUGUCCUGGGCUAAACACGUGCUACAAUGGCCGGUACAAAGGGAUGCAACACCGCGAGGUAGAGCUAAACCCAAAAACCGAGUCUAAGUUCAGGAUUGAAGUCUUCAACUCGACUCCAUGACGGAGGAAUCGCUAGUAAUCGCGUAUCACACGACGCGGUGAGACGUUCCCGAGCCUUGUACACACCGCCCGUCACACCACGCAAGCCAGCUGUACUCGAAGUCGCUGAG
rnacentral:rRNA from 1 species